CUACGGGCCGCAGCAGUGAGGAAUUUUGCGCAAUGGGGGCAACCCUGACGCGGCAACGCCGCGUGAGUGAAGAAGGCCUUUGGGUCGUAAAGCUCUGUCAACAGGGAAGAAGUUAUAAUUAUUUAAUAGAUAGUUGUAUUGACGGUACCUGUGGAGGAAGCGCCGGCUAACUCCGUGCCAGCAGCCGCGGUAACACGGGGGGCGCAAGCGUUAUUCGGAAUUAUUGGGCGUAAAGGGCGCGCAGGCGGUCUUGUCCGUCAGGUGUGAAAGCUCGGGGCUCAACCCCGGAAGUGCACUUGAAACAGCAAGACUUGAAUACGGGAGAGGAGAGAGGAAUUCCUGGUGUAGAGGUGAAAUUCGUAGAUAUCAGGAGGAACACCGAUGGCGAAGGCAUCUCUCUGGACCGAUAUUGACGCUGAGGCGCGAAGGCGUGGGUAGCGAACGGGAUUAGAUACCCGAGUAGUC
rnacentral:rRNA from 1 species